GUGUAAACCCCAGAAGGCUAUGAGUUCUAUGGGAGGAACUUGAGGGUGGGGUGGGACUUCAGGAUAGCAGGCUAUUCUAAGGAGGGCCUGAGGGAGGCCCACACCCAAGGCUGGAGAAACAGGUCCUCCACCCUUCCCCUCUCCCUCCAGAGCUUUCAUCAUCCAGGGGCAAGGGAGCCAGUGCACGGGCAAGGCCUUCCCCACUGCCUGAGCCCACUCUGGUGGCCCAGUGCCUGUGGCGGUAGCACAGCAGCAUGACACACUGGGGAGAGUAUGUGCGCCUGCACUCAGGAAGAGCCAAUGAGGUGCCAACAGUCUCCCCUGGAGGUGGAGGGGGUGCCCUAGAUCCCCAGGGAGCCCUGCCCCCCAGUGUUUUAGGGCUGUGUAUCAAGAGGUUUGGCUGGGCCCUUAACCACCUGCUGGGGAAGCCAAGCUGAGCAGAAAAAACGGCAACAGGAAGGAGCACAGGAAACACCUGUGUGUGGAUGCAGGUGGCUCAUUCCAGACUGGUGGGGGUGGGGGCGGGCAGAUAGCUCUCAGCACAUUGGCACAGCUCUGUCCUCCCUCUGUGACUAUGAAGGGUGGCAUGGUACGGAUGGUGUGCAGGCCAGCCUUUUGGCUGGUCGGGUGGGGUAGCAGGGGGUGGAGAAGGUAAACAAGUGAUAGGAAACCAAGCCAGCACCUAAAGCUGGCCACAGCUUGGGCCUGCCCCAAGAGCCCCUUCAGGAGGGUUAGAGUCCCAGAACCACCCCUAGGAGCCCUUCUGGCCUGAGGCACCACAAGAGGCCCACUGUAGGCCAAGACUGUCUACUUGCAUCCAAAGCAUAGCCUGUGUGGCGGGGAAAGAGGAAGUGAACACUGGCUGACCAGGUACUGGGAAAGUGCAAACAGGGGUGACUGGGCCAGCACGAGCUCACAGCUGAAACCACAGGAGAGGACAGUCUGGGCAAGAAAUGUAGGAUGGAAAAAAUAUCAUCCCAGCUAGAGGUCAACUGGGACUGUCACUGAAGAUCUGAGUGGCCCUACAUCCCAGCUCUCUAAUGCUGGGAAGGGGUGGGGCUCCUAACUUUCUGUUCUCUACAAGGAGGGUCCUGAGGGCAGAGCCUGUUAUUCAGCUCUAGCUGAGGGUGAGUGUGAGGGUCAGGGUUGGCACUGUGAGCACAGCCAGGUACAGGUGAAGGACUGUCAAGGCCAAGACAGAAAGAGUCUCAGGCCUUUGCCCUGUCAAGCCUACCUAGCUCAGAGCAGUGUGGAUCAACCACAGAAUAGCCACUCCACCCGUCUCUCUCAGUGACUUGCAGUCAGGCUCUAUGGCCUCCCUACACCCAGGCCCAGGUCCAUGUCUUUGAGGUGGUGGAGGGCAGGGAGAGAGCCCUUGUCCUCCCUCCUGUACGCCCUCCCCUCCUCUAACACACAUACAGCCUCACAGGUACCUCCCACAGGCCAAAGCUGCUCCCAGCACUACCCCCACCUCCCACCCUACUGUCAGGCAGGUUCAGGGAGGCAUUCACUCUUGCUGCCCCAGACCCCAGACAGUCGGGAGCUUGCUGUCCCAGGAGGUUGAUGACACCAUCAACAGUCAAAGGCAGCGGGGCAGCGAAAGCCUGUGCCCAGCUGUCCUGCAGAGCCUGUGCCAGCUUCUGUGAUGGAACCAAGGGAAGUGAGCCUCCAAGGCCUAUGACACACUGAGAAGUGCCCCAUCAGUCAAGUCCAUUGAUACCACAGCCAUGCCUUGGCCAUCAUCGUUGGGGCUCUUCCCAGAGGGAACUAAUAAGCAUGCAAUGAAAAGAAGGGACCAGGCUGAGACAGUCCAGGAUAUGAUUUAUUGUGUUGGUGGUCACUGGUGGCUCCCCCACUCCCUUCCUUUCCUCUUGCGCUCUUCCAACCUUACCUUUCCUCCUGUCUCCCACUCUUCUUCCUCAUGUAUUCAAAGCUUCAGAGAACAAAAAAAAGAAGAAAGAAAAAAGGCAUGUUUGUGAAGGCAAAGAAGCAGAUGGGUUGGCACGUGGGAAGAGGAUUGCUUCUUUGCUUCGCCCACAGAGUGGAGCGGGGGUGCCUUUCUUGUGUGUUUCUAUGCAUGGUGUGUGGGUACAAUUUGCUGAACCCUAGACAUAUGAUAUGCUCCCUCCUUUCCCUCCACCGUCCCCCACCCUGAAAGCCUUGGAGUGUCCUAUUCAUGCCAUCCAUCCUGUGUGGACAGAAGGCUCUUGGCUUGGCUGCAGAAUCCAGCUCAUUUAGGCCUGGGUAGUACAAGAGGGUGAGCUUGGGAAGGACUCCAGGUCCCAUACAAACUGCUAAGGAAGAACAAUCCUAUCUUUUAGGAAGUAAGACUGUCAUUGGCCUGUAAGAAAGGGGCCUCUUUUUUCAGAAGGUUGCAGUGGAGUGAUGGCCACGAUUUCAGUUUGAUGUCCAUGGUCAAGUCUUACUUGUCUCUGAAUAUAUCCAGGGCAUAUGGACCCUCAAUAAAUGCUGACAUAGAGCAGCUGAAUAAACAGAUGAAUUGCUAUGGCAAACACCUACGUUUCUAGCUAUUUCCUCUGAAUCUCCUUACAACCAUCUUCACCUCCUCCUCAAGCAUCCUCUUACAAAUAUCACUCCACAGGAUUUCAUUCUAGACCCUUUUCUCCUCUCUUGAAACACACUCCCCGAAUCACCUCAUCCGUUCCUCUGGCUUCCAUCUACAUGCUGAGGCUAUAUGCCAAUGAUUCACAUGACUCACUCCUCACCUCCAGACCCCCAUAUCCAACUGCUGACUAGACACCUCCUUUUGAACAGCAUGCUUAAAAUUAAACUCAACAUCUCAAAACCUGUUUCUCCUCUAGGGCUCUUGGGGUUACCAACUACCCAGGUACCCAAGCCACACAAGUGGGCCUCAUCUUUGACUCUCAGAGCUCUGUCUCCUCAUCCCAGCCAUGAGAAUCCUCUCAAUUAAGUGCCCUAAAUAUUUCUAAAUUCUCUCCACUUCUCUUUAUCCUUAUUGGCACCACUCCAGUUCAGGACACAUUGACCUCUCACCUAGACACUAAAACUGCCCCCUCACAGGCUUCCUGCCCCUGGUCUUGCCCCUCUUCCAUUCAUUCUCCAUGGUGCAGUCAGAGUGAUUUCUCAAACAUAAAUCUACCACUACAGGCUCUCUUUCUUUUAGGGAAAAUUCCAGCCCCCAAACCCUGGCUCACAAAGCCCUUUGAGUCUGUUCCCCUCUUCAGCCUCACUUCUGCCAUCUAACUUCUCACUCUGCAUUGGAGCCUCACUAAAUUGCUUGCAGGGCUUGCUUGCCCCUCCAUGGUACACUCUUCCCACUCCUAAUCUUGCCUUGCUAAUGCCUGUUCACCUGACAGGCUUCAACUAGACAUCACAAAUUUCUUCAGGAAGCUGCCCCUCCACUACACUCCUGUCACAGGAGCCUGCACUUCAACUAGUAUAAUACUAAUGACACCCCAUUGCAAUUGCUCAUUUACUUUGUAGCCUCCAAUAUAUACAUCCAUAAGUAUUUGCUGACUAUUCUACUGGGUAACAGGCACCACCCAAGUCUUGGGAAGACAAUUGUUGCCUUCCCUUAUAGAGUUUGGUUCAAGUUUUUUGUUUUAUUUCUUUUUAAACAGCUUUAUUGUGAAUUAGUCUACGUAUCAUGCAAUUCACCCAUUUAAAGUGUACGGUUCAACGGCUCUUAGUAUAUUUACAGAGUUGUGCAGUCAUCACCAAAAUCAGUUUUAGAGCAUUUUCAUCAACUCCAAAAUCUAUCAUCCCCAGGCCUCCAUAUCCACCCCAACACUAAAGCAACCACUAAUCUACUUUGUCCUUGUAUAUUUGCCUACUCCAGAUAUUUCUUAUAAAGGAAAUCAAUUAGGUCUUUCCAACUUACCCAGUUCUAAGAUUCACCUAAGAAUUUCCCUAGCAAUUCAAAUUCAGAGGAGUGGGGCCAGGGAAUCUGCAUUUUUAACAUAUGCGCCAGGCAAUUCUCUUUUUAAUCAUGCUGCAUCUGCCUUUACUAUCCCCAGCAAACAAGGCCAAAUAAACAGUAAGUGAUCAAAAUUAGAUUUAAAUGAAUAUCUCUAAAACUUGUCUCUAGCUCUCGGUUCCCUAUAUCCAACUCCCUAACUGAUGUCUUGGUCUUAAACACAACCUGAAAACAUUUUCAGUAUGAAAGUACCAAAUUUUUAACGUGGAAAAAGCCUGGACACUCGAAACACUCCCCAGAGUCCCCCAUGAAGCACAGCUCUUUAGAAUGCACUUUCACCACUGGGACCUCAAUUAAGGAACAGAAUAGAACCCUGAGCAGGGGACAGUAUAGCAAGGGAGAGCUGAGGUCAGACUGGUGGAGGAGGCAAGCAAGCUGAAUCCACAGGGGCUAGCUAGAGGGGGUAGCUAGAAACGAGGCUGAAGAGGUGAGCAGGGGCUUGAUCAUGGGGGAUUCCAUGGACCACAUGGAGUGGUGAGGAGUUUGGAAUUUACCCCCAAAGCACUGAGGAGCCAUCCAUGGGCUUGCGGCAGGGGAAUUUUAGGAUCACAGCUGUGCUUUAGAAAGGUCAGAUGUUGGAGGGCAUUUGUGUGGAGGGAAAAGGCAGGAAGCAGUGAGGAGUCUGAAGCUGUGGUCAGGAGAAGUGAUAGUGGCCUGGGCCAGGGUGGAGGCAGUGUGGAUGGAAAGGAGGUUAGAGUGAAUAGAUUUUCCAAAGGCACAAUGGACAGGAUUUGGUGAUUGAUGGGAUGUGGGAGAUGAGAGAAUGAAGCCUUGGUUUCUGGCCUGGGUGAUGGAUGGAUGGUGGUAUCUUUCACUAAAAAGGGGGAGUCCUAGAGAAGCAGGUUGGGAGGAGAGAGACAAGGCUCAUAAGGGUGGCCUGGGAGCCAUCCAGGAGGAGAUGUCCAGAAAGAAGCCGGAUAUGUAGAUCUGGGGCAAGAAGAGAAGUGUGGAGGCUGCAGGCAGAAGCUUGAGAGUCAUCCUUGCUUUACUGUGAAGUCUCUUAUGACUACUGCAAUAUCCAGUGACCAGUCUGUUCCUCCCAUACCUGCAGCCCUUACCUUUUACUUGCCUCUCCAUCCUUGAUUUUUAUGUACCAAUGCUUAUGAGGUUUAGCUUGACCUCUCCAGACUAAUGUAAGACAAAGUAUAAGACACUCGAGCGCUAGGGACAUCAUCUAUCUCCAGUAUUACCUAGCCUCGAGCAUAGACCUGGAUCUUGAGCAAUUAUUCAGGACAUACUUAUAGAUUAAUAAUUCAUCACUCCAAAUACCUCCUCUAUCUGCCUUCCAAGUGCCUGACACUUCCACCAUUAAAGCCCUUCCUUUGGGUUAAGGCAGUAAUGUCCAACUUUUUUUAGAAAACCUUUUCCCCCCUAAACCACAUAAAAUUUGGAGAAGUGGGAGAGGAUGGGGAAGCAGAGAGGCCCAGAGCCUGCCUGAUAGACCUCCCUUCCUGUUCCUCUUCCAAAGCAGCCCCUGAGUUAAAGCAUCAUCUCCAGAGGAUCCCUAUAAAGUUGGAAAUGUUAUCUGACAGAGUGAGGAGCUCUGAGUAGCUAGUGAAAGAACAGAAAGAGAGAAGGUAGGGCUGGAAGAUCUGAGUACUCAUUCUGGUUUUGCCAGCAAGUUUCUGGAUGCAUCUGAGCAGGUCACUUCAUUUCUUGAGUUUAGGACAAAACUGUCUGUCUUCACAUAGAGCUGUGAACCUCAAUUGAAAGGUCAGUUAUGAAGGUAUUUUGCAAAAUGAAAAAUGUACAGAUGGGAUGGAUUAUUAAAGGGCGAUCAAUGCAUGUCUGAAAAAUGCAGGUAAGAGCAAAGAGAACGAAAGUAACCUACUUCCCAAAUGUGGGAUGUGGGUCUAGGUAAAGUCCUUUAGACUUUAGAGAGCAGUAAUUUAAUCUAAGAGGUAAAAAGUAAAUAUGGCUUUUACAGGGGUCUGAAGAAAGCAGACAUCAAUAAGGAAAAAAAUUCCUGUGGUCUGGGUAGGAGAUGAUGUAGAAGGGCAGGUCUUUAAAAUGUUAGGAGAAAGUGGCUGGCCUUGGCAGUUGACCUUGAAAGCUUUCCCAAGUAUUAUAAGGUUUAGCAUCACUACUCUACACCCUAGUCCAAUGGUGUGGGAUGACUUGCUGUCCCCCCUAACUCUUGUGUUUUAUGCCUUUGACCAUGGCUCUUCACCUUACAUUCCUUUGCUUUGCUUGUUAAUGCCUUCUGAUUCUUUAACACCAAGGUGAAAUGAGAUAAAGGAGGAAAUCAUUCUCCAGAAGUAUCUAUGAGUCCACUUCUUCCCAUUAUAACAAUUAUUGCAUUAAUUGUUUUUUGGUUUUGUUUUGUCUUGUUUUCUAACCAGUCUGACCAGUUAAACUUUGAGUUCUACGGCAAGACACACAUCUUGGGGCAUCUUUGUAUCCCCAGUCCCUAGAACAGGGAGCUGAAUACAGCAGGUAUUCAAUAAAUGUUUGCUAAAUUGGAUUAUAUCUCACACGUCCUCAAGAUAUACAGAGGCAACAGUAAUAUUCAAGUGUAACUACAGGUCUUACCCCCAAAAUGGGCAGGAAGAUUCUUGCCCAUUGUUACUUAGAAAAUCAACACAUCUCUCUUUCAUUUAUUGAUUCUCUUGCUUAAAGAGUUCCCCAAAACACAUAAAUGAUCAUGAUCAUUGCAAGCUCGACAUGGAGCAACAGUGGGAGCCAAGGAAGAUCUUAGAAAUAGAGUUGUCCUCCUAAGAAUUACCAAAAACUGUUUGGGGUGGACGACUGAAGAAAAUGCAAAAUGCAAAGUACACCUUUCCCAGAAAGGAUGACUCCCAGGCCAAGGAAAGCCUAGUCAGUAACUGAUUCUAUUAAUGAAUCUAGAAAAAGCAUGUCCAUCAGAAGUUGGAUUUGGAAGUGAGAGUGGGUAACAAGAAGCAUAAAAAGAAGAAAUAACAAUAGUUUACAUUUACGGUAUGAUUACUGGUGCCUAGAACUGUGCCAAAAGCUUUACUUGCAUUUUCUCGUUUAAUCCUUACCACUGUGUGAAGUACAAUUAUCAUCCUAUCUUAUAGAGAAGAAACCUACAAUUGAGUUGUUAAUAAUUUACCCAAGAUCACAUAGCUAAUAAGGAGCUAAGACAAGACUUGAAUGCUGGACAAUCUGAAUCCAGCAUCCAGAGAGGGUCACAUUAAACAUUUAAGCUAUAUAACAUCUCUUACACUAAUUAACCGCUCACCAGAGCUUUCUAGUAAUUUGGCUUCCCAAGACACUCUCCUGUAGGGAGAGAACAUGCCUUUUACCAGCACGAUAACACUGGUCCACUUGCCAGUUAGUAAAACAGCACUCUGCUUGUCCAUCAAGUUCCUGUGAACCUGACGAAUCCCCAAGGAAGGAAUCCACUCUCGGAAUACAGACUACAUUUCUGGUCCUGCCUUUGACGCUGAGGGCCAGAUCCUAGAAUGUGGUGACUUCACCAGUGCCAUGUGGUUAUAGUCCGGUCCACAUCUCUGAUCUACCAACAUGAAUCAAGCCAAGGUCACCCAUGAUAUUCUGUAGUGACCUCCAAGGUGACCAACCAAAUA